GCUGGGUGUGGUGGCGCCCACCUGUAAUCCCAGCUACUUAGGAGGCUGAGGCAGGAGAAUUGCUUGAACCCAUGAGGCGGAGGUUGCAGUGAGCCGAGAUUGGCUACUGCCCUCCAGCCUGGGUGACAGAGUAAGACUCUGUCUCAA
rnacentral:SRP_RNA from 1 species